CAGGUGCUGCAUGGCUGUCGUCAGUUCGUGCCGUGAGGUGUUUGGUUAAGUCCAGCAACGAACGCAACCCCUGUGUCUAGUUGCCACUACAGGCUCAAACCUGUAAGCACUCUAGACAGACUGCUCGUUUACACGAGAGGAAGGUGGGGACGACGUCAAGUCAGUAUGGCCCUUACGUCCUGGGCUGCACACGUGCUACAAUGACCAGUACAGAUGGAUGCAAUACCGCGAGGUGGAGCAAAUCCUCAAAACUGGCCUCAGUUCAGAUUGGAGUCUGCAACUCGACUCCAUGAAGUCGGAUUCGCUAGUAACGGCGUAUCAGCUACGACGCCGUGAAUACGUUCCCGGGCCUU
rnacentral:rRNA from 1 species